CGCAACCUCCGCCUCCCGGGUUCAAUCUGCUUUAUUGGAGACCAGGACUGCAGCCCUGCCUUUAUUUGCUCUCCAGUUGCUUGGUCAUGUGGCCCAGCUUCAGCCAUGUGAGCCCUGUGUAAUGAGGGGAACAGAUGAAGGCUGGAUUGAAGUGCCCCCCGGCCCCUUUCUGGAGCACCCACUGUCCCUGGCUGAUCCCCUCCCACAGUGCAGGCCUCCUCCAGCUCGUGGGUACAGGGAACAGGCACCGAGCAGCCUCUCCAUGUCGAGCUUCAUGUCCAGAUUGGAACAGCCCACAUGGCCGUUCCAUACCUCAUUGGCCUGCGGAAUCCUACGUAAAAGGUGCAGGUCUGAGCUGGGCCUGUUGUGCGAGUUCCUUGCCAAGCCAAGCAGCACAGGUCUGUAAGUAAAUAACAGCGAACACAGAUAGACCUCACUGGUUUUAUUUCUCUAUCCUUUUGGUCUGAUCUCAUGUUAGAUUUUGUC